GACGAACCGAGCGAACGUUGUUCGGAAUCACUGGGCUUAAAGGGCGCGUAGGCGGGUGCUCAAGUCCGGGGUGAAAUCCUCCAGCUCAACUGGAGAACUGCCUCGGAUACUGGGUGCCUCGAGUGUGGUAGGGGUGUGCGGAACUAUCGGUGGAGCGGUGAAAUGCGUUGAUAUCGAUAGGAACUCCGGUGGCGAGGGCGGCACACUGGACCACAACUGACGCUGAGGCGCGAAAGCCAGGGGAGCAAACGGG
rnacentral:rRNA from 1 species